CUGCCUCCUGCCUGGAGGAAGGUCCGUCUCAGAGGGCAUUGGGGAGAACAGCCCCUUCUUAGGCUACUCACCUUUGGGGUGGAGGCGGCUCUGGCUCAUUAGGGAGCAGCUGGGUUUGUACCUGACCCAUUUGCCAGAACCCAGCCUGCCCUCCUGGUGGGUCCUGGCUGGCUGUGUGUCUCAGCUCCAGAGCGUGUCUGUUUGGGUCCACACCCCCCUGUAAACAGCCAGCCCGAGGCCUGUCUUCGGAGGCCAGGCCAGGCCCCACCCAGGGUCAGCCACUUUUCCAGAGGCAAACACUUCCCCCAGGAGCCGCCACCCUCCAGGUUUGCCAGUACUUUGAAGGGGUGGUAGCUGAGAGUUACGCCUAAGCCCUGCUCAGUAUCACCUUGUCUGGAAGAGUCCUGCUGGCAACUGAAGGGCUCACGCAAGGACACUGGACCUUGCACCCACUCUGAUGUCUGCCUGGCAUGGAGGUGGGCCCUCAGUGGCUGUCUGUCUGGACUUGUUUGGUCCUCUGUCCUUUUCUUUACAUCCCAAGAAGUGCUGUCUCCAACAUGGUAGAGACGGUGACCUGCAAUAGGACACACCUCCAGCUUCACAGCCCUCCCGGCAGAUGGAAUAGCAACUAAUACAGCCAUUAUGGAGAUCAGCAUGGAGAUUCCUCAAAAAAGUGAAAACUAGAAAUUCCAUUUGACCCAGCUAAUCCCCCUCUAUGUAUCUUCCCGAAAAAAUUAAAGGCA